rnacentral:rRNA from 1 species
GUUCAAGAGUACGUGAAACCGUUCAGGGGUAAACCUGAGAAACCCAAAAGAUCGAAUAGGAAGAUUCAUCGUCAGCAUGUUUCGUAUAUGUAUGAGUUAUGAUGCGAGUUACUUUUGUAUUGCUUGCACAUUCUUGUAUAUUUAAUUGCGGGAUAUGUCGGCGUGCACUUCUUCCUUAGUAGAACGUCGCAACCCGUUGAGUGUUGGUCUAUGACCCGAGUGGGAGCCUUUAACGUUUUUAACAUUGAAGACCCUUGGUGU